rnacentral:rRNA from 1 species
GAUGAACGCUAGCGGCAGGCCUAAUACAUGCAAGCCAAGGGCUGUUUGGUGUAGCAAUACAUCAAACAGCCGGCGGACGGGUGCGUAACGCGUAUGCAACCUACCCUAUACAGGAGGAUAGCCCUCGGAAACGAGGAUUAAUACUCCAUAAGAUUGCUUAGAGGCAUCUUUAAGCAAUUAAAGCCGCAAGGCGGUAUAGGAUGGGCGUGCGUCCGAUUAGCUAGUUGGUGAGGUAACGGCUCACCAAGGCGAUGAUCGGUAGGGGGUCUGAGAGGACGAUCACCCAGACUGGGACUGAGACACGGCCCAGACUCCUACGGGAGGCAGCAGUCGGGAAUUUUGCGCAAUGGGGGAAACCCUGAAGCAGCAACGCCGCGUGAGGGAUGAAGGCCUUCGGGUUGUAAACCUCUUUUGUCAGGGACGAUGAUGACGGUACCUGGCGAAUAAGCCACGGCUAACUACGUG